rnacentral:tRNA from 1 species
GGGGUUGUGGCUCAGUGGUAGAGCGCUCACCUUGCACGUGCAAGGCCCUGGGUUAGAUCCUCAGCACCA